AGCGAACGCUGGCGGCAGGCUUAACACAUGCAAGUCGAGCGCCGUAGCAAUACGGAGCGGCAGACGGGUGAGUAACACGUGGGAACGUACCUUUUGGUUCGGAACAACACAGGGAAACUUGUGCUAAUACCGGAUAAGCCCUUACGGGGAAAGAUUUAUCGCCGAAAGAUCGGCCCGCGUCUGAUUAGCUAGUUGGUGAGGUAACGGCUCACCAAGGCGACGAUCAGUAGCUGGUCUGAGAGGAUGAUCAGCCACACUGGGACUGAAACACGGCCCAGACUCCUCCGGGGUGCAGCAGUGGGGAAUAUUGGAAAAUGGGCGCAAGCCUGAUCCAGCCAUGCCGCGUGAGUGAUGAAGGCCCUAGGGUUGUAAAGCUCUUUUGUGCGGGAAGAUAAUGACUGUACCGCAAGAAUAAGCCCCGGCUAACUUCGUGCCAGCCGCCGCGGUAAAAC
rnacentral:rRNA from 1 species